rnacentral:rRNA from 1 species
UCGCCAGACUCCUACGGGAGGCAGCAGUGGGGAAUAUUGCACAAUGGGGGGAACCCUGAUGCAGCGACGCCGCGUGAGUGAAGAAGUAUUUCGGUAUGUAAAGCUCUAUCAGCAGGGACGAAGAUGACGGUACCUGCAGAAGAAGCCCCGGCUAACUACGUGCCAGCAGCCGCGGUAAUACGUAGGGGGCAAGCGUUAUCCGGAUUUACUGGGUGUAAAGGGAGCGUAGACGGCGGUGCAAGUCUGAAGUGAAAGGCGGGGGCCCAACCCCCGGACUGCUUUGGAAACUGUAUAGCUGGAGUGCAGGAGGGGUAAGUGGAAUUCCUAGUGUAGCGGUGAAAUGCGUAGAUAUUAGGAGGAACACCAGUGGCGAAGGCGGCUUACUGGACUGUAACUGACGUUGAGGCUCGAAAGCGUGGGGAGCAAACAGGAUUAGAUACCCUAGUA